AUUUGUACAGAGUCCUGUUAAACGGAAACAGAAGGAGCAACUAGAAGCGUACGAGCGGAGAUCGAAGCGUGUACGGUCAGGCCCGGUGUUCGAUACCGGUGCAGAUACGCCUCCACUGAGCGUGAUUGCUGACAAUAUUGUGGAGAUCCCUGUGGAGAGCAGCGAUGAUACUCCUCCACCGAGCGUGAUUGCUGACAAACCUGUGGAGAUCCCUGUGGAGAGCAGCGAUAGGACCGACUCAGCUAGUCCAGACUCCGGUGGUAAAUGCUGUCAUCACGAGUCAGAAUUCGAUAAUUUGAAAUGUGAGAACUUGCUGCUGAGAGAGGAGGUGAAGAAAUUAAGGGCCCAAAACUCAACUCU